UCUCUCUCUACGUUCUAACUCUCUCUCUUCUUCUUACUUUCUCUCUCCUCGUGCAAAUUCUCUCUUCUCACAAUUUCUCUGAUCUCUUCGCAUGUCUUUAACUUUGCAAAUCUGCAUCUUCUUAUCUUCACCCUUUGUUCAAUCAAAUUUGUGGCCAAGGUUUUUGUUUGGUAGAAGCGGCAAAGGAUAUUGCAAGUUUUAUUUGUUGUUUGGGCGUUGUCUGUAUGAUGAGCUAUUUGUGGCCAGGAGCAGGGGUAGAGCGUUGUGCAAAUGCACAAAGAUGUGGGUUUGAAUCCCACGUAGGUUCAUUUGUGUAAUGUGGCUACUAAACUCAAUCUAUACAAAGCUGGAGGUGGUGGCAUUUUAUGGUGUGAUAAGGGUUCUUGCAAUUAAAAACAGAUGCAGAGGCUUUAGGGAAAAUGCUGAGCUAUCCUAACUCCUUUAGAGACCACGAUCUAGAACAUUAUAAGGGAUGUGUGGUUGAGUAGCAGAACAAUUAACUUCGUUACUCACAAGCUAGCAGCUAUUGUAAGGACUAAAGUUCAACUUGAUGAAAGGGUGCUAUUCCACUAUCCCCUGUUGAGAUCUUUGACAAGUAUGUUGCUAAAAUACCAGCAAUCCCUAUGGCUUAAUCCUGAUGAUGACGGCUGCUCAACACCUUUUGCUCAUCUUGUCUUUCUCUGUAGGUCUUUGCUGGCAUUAUGUUGGCUUUAAUUUUUUGUUGCUUGGUUUAUUUUUAUGUCUUCCCUAAGUAGGAGGAUACUGGUACUUUUAAUCUCUUUGAACAAUAUUUUGUAUAGGUUGGUUGUUGUCACCUUGAUGUAAUAUACUAAUAUAUAAUCUAUUUUCCUUUAGCAUAAAAAAAAAAAAAAAAAAAAAAAAAGGUUUCUAUGUUUGAAAAUCUGAUUCUAAAUUUUCAGUUACUUUUGUUAUCGUUUUAUUUACUUUAAAUAUGAAAACCUUUACUA